UGUCGAAUCCUGCAAAAGCAGACCGCGAACAAGUUAAACCACAUUGGGACCGCGGGUCUUGGAGGAGACCCCUUGCCCGCGCCCAUCCCUCGCACUGCGCGCGUCUAGGUGCGCGUGGUGCGGGCUAACGAAACCCCGGCGCGGCAUGCGCCAAGGAAAACUCAUAGAAGCGUCGGCCUCCCUCCGCCCCGUUCGCGGUGUGCGGAGGGUGAACUGAUGUCUCUCCAAUGUCAAAACGACUCUCGGCAACGGAUAUCUCGGCUCUCGCAUCGAUGAAGAACGUAGCGAAAUGCGAUACUUGGUGUGAAUUGCAGAAUCCCGUGAACCAUCGAGUCUUUGAACGCAAGUUGCGCCCGAAGCCAUUCGGCCGAGGGCACGUCUGCCUGGGCGUCACGCAUCGCGUCGCCUCCCAUCCCACGCCCAAAUGGGUGAUCGGGUUUCGAGUGCGGAAAUUGGCCCCCCGUGCGCUUGCCGCGCGGCCGGCCUAAAUGUGAACCCGUGGCAACUCACGUCACGACCAGUGGUGGUUGAACACUCAACUCGCGUGCUGUCUGUCGUGCCGUUUAAGUUGGCCGUCGGGCUUCGUCGCAGACCCUAUGGUGCGAUUCUUUCGCGCCUU
rnacentral:rRNA from 1 species